UAUGACGGGUAUCCGGCCUGAGAGGGUGAACGGACACACUGGAACUGAGACACGGUCCAGACUCCUACAGGAGGCAGCAGUAGGGAAUAUUGCUCAAUGGGGGAAACCCUGAAGCAGCAACGCCGCGUGGAGGAUGAAGGUUUUAGGAUUGUAAACUCCUUUUGUGAGAGAAGAUUAUGACGGUAUCUCACGAAUAAGCACCGGCUAACUCCGUGCCAGCAGCCGCGGUAAUACGGAGGGUGCAAGCGUUACUCGGAAUCACUGGGCGUAAGGAGUGCGUAGGCGGGAAGGUAAGUCAGAUGUGAAAUCCUAUGGCUUAACCAUAGAACUGCAUUUGAAACUACUUUUCUAGAGUGUGGGAGAGGUAGGUGGAAU
rnacentral:rRNA from 1 species